rnacentral:rRNA from 1 species
UACGUAGGGUCCGAGCGUUGUCCGGAAUUAUUGGGCGUAAGGGGCUCGUAGGCGGUUUGUCGCGUCGGGAGUGAAAACCUACAGCUUAACUGUGGGCUUGCUUUCGAUACGGGCAGACUUGAGGCAUGCAGGGGAGAACGGAAUUCCUGGUGUAGCGGUGAAAUGCGCAGAUAUCAGGAGGAACACCGGUGGCGAAGGCGGCAUCCUGGACCAACACUGACGCUGAGUGAGCGAAAGCCAGGGGAGCAAACGGG